rnacentral:rRNA from 1 species
UACAUGGGGUGCAAACGUUGCUCGGAAUCAUUGGGCGUAAAGCGCGCGUAGGCGGUUACUUAUGUCGGAUGUGAAAGCCCUCGGCUUAACUGAGGAAGUGCAUUCGAAACUGGGUAGCUAGAGUACUAAAGAGGGUCGCGGAAUUCCCGGUGUAGAGGUGAAAUUCGUAGAUAUCGGGAGGAACACCGGUGGCGAAGGCGGCGACCUGGACCGAGACUGACGCUGAGGCGCGAAAGCGUGGGGAGCAAACAGG